GACGGGGGGGGCAAGUGUUCUUCGGAAUGACUGGGCGUAAAGGGCACGUAGGCGGUGAAUCGGGUUGAAAGUGAAAGUCGCCAAAAAGUGGCGGAAUGCUCUCGAAACCAAUUCACUUGAGUGAAACAGAGGAGAGUGGAAUUUCGUGUGUAGGGGUGAAAUCCGUAAAUAUACGAAGGAACGCCAAAAGCGAAGGCAGCUCUCUGGGUCCCUACCGACGGCU
rnacentral:rRNA from 1 species